rnacentral:rRNA from 1 species
CAGUAGCCGCGGGAAAACGGAGGGGGCUAGCGUUGUUCGGAAUUACUGGGCGUAAAGGGAGCGUAGGCGGGUCGUUUAGUCAGAGGUGAAAUCCCGGGGCUCAACCUCGGAACUGCCUUUGAUACUGGCGACCUUGAGUAUGGGAGAGGUGAGUGGAACUCCGAGUGUAGAGGUGAAAUUCGUAGAUAUUCGGAAGAACACCAGUGGCGAAAGCGACUCACUGGCCCAUUACUGACGCUGAGGCUCGAAAGCGUGGGGAGCAAACAGGAUUAGAUACCCCCGUAGUCCCUGUCUCUUAUAC